CGUAGCCGAUGCUGGCGGCUGUGUUUGGGAAAGGAAGCUGCGCUGUUGCGCUGCUGGUUUGGAUAAGCAGGAUUUUGGUGCGGAAAGCAGAGGCGCGCGUGGCUUUUCCUGGAUGCUCCCGGCUUGGAAGGCGUAACAAGUGUCGCUUCCUCCCCGUUUCUCCCCCUUUUUUCGUAUUUUUGCUGCUUUCCCCUUACCUUGCUCCUUAAUAUUUUUUGUUUGCGUUUUUCUCCGUGCCGAGGCUGCAUUGCAAGCGAGGAUUUAUUUGCUGCGCGGCUGCUGCUGCACCGCCGUUCGUGCGCGCGUGUUUUUCCUCUUUUUUUCUCUGCCUCCUUCCUGCUUUUCCUCCCUCUCCUCUUUUUGUUUUCUUCUGCCUGCGUGUUAGGCGAGCCCGGGUCCCCCACCUUCCCUCGGGCAGGCGGGCGGGCCAUGGAGGAGAAGUACCUGCCGGAGCUGAUGGCUGAGAAGGACUCCCUGGAUCCGUCCUUCACCCACGCGCUGAGACUGGUUAACCAAGAAAUUGAAAAAUUCCAAAAAGGGGAAGAAGGCAAAGAAGAAGACAAGUACAUUGAUGUAGUGAUUAACAAAAAUAUGAAAUUGGGGCAGAAAGUAUUAAUUCCAGUAAAACAGUUUCCCAAGUUCAACUUUGUGGGGAAACUUUUGGGCCCACGUGGCAAUUCUCUGAAGCGCUUGCAAGAAGAGACAUUGACAAAAAUGUCAAUAUUGGGAAAAGGAUCCAUGAGGGACAAGGCAAAGGAAGAAGAGUUGAGAAAAAGCGGAGAAGCAAAAUACUUCCACCUAAACGAUGACCUGCAUGUGUUAAUUGAAGUGUUUGCCCCACCCGCAGAAGCAUAUGCCAGAAUGGGGCAUGCGCUGGAAGAAAUCAAGAAGUUCCUCAUCCCCGACUACAAUGAUGAAAUCAGACAGGCACAAUUACAGGAAUUAACUUAUUUGAAUGGUGGCUCAGAAAAUGCAGACGUUCCAGUAGUUCGUGGAAAGCCUCCUUUACGAGCACGGGGAGUUCCAGCUCCUGCAUUGGCAAGAACUCGCGGAGGUGUGCCACCCCCACCUGCAGGCAUCCCAAGAGGGGCACCCGCACCCAGAGGAAUACCCCCUGGUAGAGGUCCCAUCACCCGUGGCCGGGGUCUUCUAACUCCCAGAGCAAGAGGGGUCCCGCCAUCUGCUGGCUACCGACCCCUUCCUCCUCCUCCAGCACAAGAUACCUAUGGAGAAUACGACUAUGACGAUGGCUAUGGCACUUCAUAUGAUGAACAGAGCUAUGAUUCCUAUGAUAACAGCUAUAGUGCUUCAGCACAAAGUGGUGGCGAUUACUAUGAUUACGCCCAUGGUCUGAGUGACGACACAUAUGAUUCUUACAGACAGGAAGAAUGGACCAGUUCAAGACACAAGGCACCUCCAGCAAGGACAACAAAAGGAAGCUACAGAGAGCAGCCAUAUGCCAGAUACUGAUUACACUAUCUGAUGUUGUGAAAUACCCAAUCUCCACCAGUCCUGUAUACUGUUCAAAGAAACACUGAAUGCCAGGGGAAGCCAAGAAGAUGAAAAACAUGUUUCUGUUGAUGCAUUGGGACUUUGCACGCUCUUACGGACAGAUUUGAAACACCCCCCUCACCGACGUGCCUCGGAAACAAUAGCCAGCAGCUCUUUGAAACUCCACUUUGACUUCCUUUUUAUGCUACCUGCUGUACCCUAGACUUGACAAGAUGUAUAGUUUUUCAGACCUCAGUUUUAACUCUAUAAUAAUGUUUAUUCAUUUACCGCUGUAACUUUGUGAAGACAUUAAUAAAAGAUUUUUCCGUUUCAUUGUCCUGCGCAAAGAAAUAUUGAUUCUUUAUCAGACUCUUGUAAGUUCUUGCACAGUGAGAGUUAAGCUUGAGGGAGUCUCUUUCAAACUAGCCCAUUGCUAAAAAGGGCUUAUCACCUGUGUGUGUGUGUUCACGCAGCAGCUGCUGCUAAGACAAGUAAACCAAAGAGUGUUACAGAAACACUUAUCUAAAUGUAAACAUACAUGCCCAGAGCACAAGGGAGAAGGAUUUUUGGAAUGGGAGGGGGAGCAGUCAGGUGACCUAAAAUUCUUCUGAUUUCCGCAUUAUGCAUGCAAAAUGUGCUUGACAUAUAAGUGCAUGCUGUCCCCCGCAAAACGUACACAUGACAGUUCCUAACUCAAGUGGAGGAGUUUGCGAGAAGUCUCUGCCACGCUACUUGUACCUACGGGACCACCUCUCCUGGUAUGCCCCGCGGAGGACCUUAAGGUCCACAAACAACAAUACUCUGGAGAUCCCGAGCCAUAAGGUGGCUAGAUUGGCCUCUACUAGGGCCAGGGCCUUUUCAGUAUUGGCCCCAACUUGGUGGAACGCUCUUUCAGGGCCCUGCGGGAUUUGUCAUCUUUCCGCAGGGCCUGCAAGACAGAGCUGUUCCGCCUGGCCUUUGCGUUGGAUUCAGUCUGACCCCUGUGUUUUCCUCCCUCAUGGCUUGGAUUUGUGGACUACUUAAAAUGAGGCUGCAUUUUAAAUUUUAAUACUGUAUUUUAAUCUGUAUUUUAAUUAAUUGCUUUUUAUGUUUUAUUGUAAUUUUAUUGGUGUGAGCCGCCCUGAGCCCGGUUUUGACUGGGGAGGGCGGGAUAUAAAUAAAAUUAUUAUUAUUAUUAUUAUUAUUAUUAUUAUUAUUAUUAUUAUUAUUAUUUACAGGUAGGUAGCCGUGUUGGUCUGACGUAGUCAAAAAAAAUAAAAAUCCUUCCAGUAGCACCUUAGAGACCAACUAAGUUUGUCAUAGGUAUGAGCUUUCGUGUGCAUGCACACUUCUUCAGAUACACUGAAACAGAAGUCACCAGACCCUUAUGUAUGGUCAGAGGGUGGGGAGGGGUAUUACUCAGAAGAGUGGUGGGAAUGGGUGAUUGGCUGAUAGGAGUGGUAAACCUGUUGAUGACUGUUAACGACUGUUAAUGACUGCAAUUGGUCUUGCAG